rnacentral:rRNA from 1 species
UUUUAAUAGAAAUAAUUAUUAGUAAAAUCUGCUCAAUGAAUAAUAAUUCAAUAGCCGCAAUUAAUUUGUGCUAAGGUAGCAUAAUCAUUUGUCUUUUAAUUAAAGACUAGAACGAAAGAUUUAACAAUUAAACUACUAUUUAUAAUAUAAAAAUUAUAAUUUAUCCUAAAUAUAAAAAGAUAUUUAUAAAUAAAAAAGACGAUAAGACCCUAUUGAACUUAACUUAAGUUUAACUGGGGAAGUUAAUCAAACAAAAUUUUAAUUAAAAUUAAAAAAAAAAAGAUCUAAUAAAAUUAAUUAAAUGAUCAAGUUACCAUAGGGAUAACAGCGCAAUAAUUUCUCAAAGAUCUUAUUAAAGAAAAAGAUUACGACCUAGAUGUUGAAUUAAUAACCUAUUAAAUGCAAUAAUUUAAAAAGGAAGUCUGUUCGACUUAUAAU